GACGAACGCUGGCGGCGUGCUUAACACAUGCAAGUCGAACGGAAAGGCCCUGCUUUUGUGGGGUGCUCGAGUGGCGAACGGGUGAGUAACACGUGAGUAACCUGCCCUUGACUUUGGGAUAACUUCAGGAAACUGGGGCUAAUACCGGAUAGGAGCUCCUGCUUCAUGGUGGGGGUUGGAAAGUUUCGGCGGUUGGGGAUGGACUCGCGGCUUAUCAGCUUGUUGUUGGGGUAGUGGCUUACCAAGGCUUUGACGGGUAGCCGGCCUGAGAGGGUGACCGGCCACAUUGGGACUGAGAUACGGCCCAGACUCCUACGGGAGGCAGCAGUGGGGAAUAUUGAACAAUGGGCGGAAGCCUGAUGCAGCAACGCCGCGUGCGGGAUGACGGCCUUCGGGUUGUAAACCGCUUUCGCCUGUGACGAAGCGUGAGUGACGGUAAUGGGUAAAGAAGCACCGGCUAACUACGUG
rnacentral:rRNA from 1 species